AACGAACGCUGGCGGCAUGCCUAACACAUGCCAGUCGAACGAGACCUUCGGGUCUAGUGGCGCACGGGUGCGUAACGCGUGGGAACCUGCCCUUAGGUUCGGAAUAACUCCCCGAAAGGGGUGCUAAUACCGGAUAAUGUCUUCGGACCAAAGAUUUAUCGCCUUUGGAUGGGCCCGCGUUGGAUUAGCUAGAUGGUAGGGUAAAAGCCUACCAAGGCGACGAUCCAUAGCUGGUCUGAGAGGAUGAUCAGCCACACUGGGACUGAGACACGGCCCAGACUCCUACGGGAGGCAGCAGUGGGGAAUAUUGGACAAUGGGCGAAAGCCUGAUCCAGCAAUGCCGCGUGAGUGAUGAAGGCCUUAGGGUUGUAAAGCUCUUUUACCCGGGAUGAUAAUGACAGUACCGGGAGAAUAAGCUCCGGCUAACUCCGU
rnacentral:rRNA from 1 species